rnacentral:rRNA from 1 species
GACGAAGGGGGCUAGCGUUGUUCGGAAUUACUGGGCGUAAAGCGUGUGUAGGCGGUUUUCCAAGUCAGGCGUGAAAGCCUUGAGCUCAACUCAAGAAAUGCGCUUGUUACUGGAUGACUAGAGGACCGGAGAGGAUAGUGGAAUUCCCAGUGUAGUGGUGAAAUACGUAGAGAUUGGGAAGAACACCAGUGGCGAAGGCGGCUAUCUGGACGGUUACUGACGCUAAGACUCGAAAGCGUGGGGAGCAAACAGG